UCUACUAGAUUCUUAAACAUUUCGCCUGAAUUCUUCGUCUUCCCUCACUGAGAGCAGUGACAAUCCGAUACCCAUACACAACACAAAAACAUCGUGCGUGACUAUCAAGCGAGCAAUAAACUCAACCAUUUCUGAUUCUUCAACUCAACAAUGGCAGAACCCAAAGUUAAAUACGAUCGCCAACUCAGAAUAUGGGGUGACCAAGGACAGGCAGCCCUUGAGAAAUCUAAUAUUUGCUUGCUUAACUGUGGUCCUACUGGUUCCGAGACGCUUAAGAAUCUUGUUCUUGGUGGGAUUGGAAGCAUCACUGUAGUUGAUGGAUCUAAAGUUGAAGUUGGUGACCUCGGAAACAAUUUUUUGGUGGAUGAAUCAAGCCUUGGGCAGUCAAAGGCAAAGUGUGUAUGCUCAUUUCUCCAGGAGCUGAAUGAUGCAGUUAAAGCAAAAUAUGUAGAAGAGUAUCCAGAUGCAUUGAUUGAGACAAACCCAUCAUUCUUUUCUCAAUUUACUUUGGUUGUUGCCACACAGCUGGUGGAGUCUUCAAUGGUGAAGCUUGACCGAAUCUGCAGGAAUGCAAAUGUUAUAUUGAUCUUUGCCCGCUCCUAUGGCCUUACUGGGUUUGUACGAAUCAGUUUGAAGGAACAUACUGUGAUUGAAUCAAAGCCUGAGCAUUUUCUGGAUGAUCUUCGGUUAAAUAAUCCUUGGCCUGAACUCAAGAGGUUUGCAGAGGGGUUUGACUUGAACGUGCAAGACCCUGUUGUUCAUAAACAUAUACCCUAUGUUGUCAUUCUUGUCAAGAUGGCUGAUGAGUGGGCCAAAAGCCAUGGUGGUAGGCUUCCAUCAACUAGAGAAGAAAAAAAGGAGUUCAAGGAGCUUCUUAAGGCUGGGAUGGUCGCACAAGAUGAAGAUAAUUAUAAAGAAGCUAUUGAGUCCUCAUUCAAAGUAUUUGCCCCCCGAGGAAUUAGUUCAGAGUUGCAACAAAUGCUAAAUGAUAGUUCUGCGGAAGUAGAUUCUAGUUCGCCUGAUUUUUGGGUGUUGGUGGCUGCUCUAAAGGAUUUUGUUACAAAUGAAGGUGGUGGGGAGGCACCUCUUGAAGGAUCUAUACCAGAUAUGACUUCUUCCACUGAACAAUAUGUGAAUUUACAGAAUAUAUAUCAGGCUAAGGCUGAGGCUGACAUUCUUGCAAUAGAGCGAGUAGCGAGAAAUACUUUGAAGAAAAUUGGUAGAGAUCCAAAUAGCAUUCCAAGGGCAACAAUUAAAAGCUUCUGUAAAAAUUCAAGAAAACUCAAAGUUUGCAGAUAUCGUCUGAUUGAAGAUGAGUUUAAUUCUCCAAACCUACCAGAGUUACAAAAGUACCUGACUGACGAGGAUUACAGCAUUGCUGUGGGAAUUUAUAUUUUGCUUCGGGCUGUUGACCGGUUUGCUGCUAACUACAACAGUUUUCCUGGACAGUUUGACAAUGCAAUGGACGAGGAUAUAUCUCGAUUAAAGAGCACAGCAGUUGGCCUGCUUAAUGACUUGGGAUGCAAUAGUGCUACUUUAGCUGAGGACCUUAUCAAUGAGAUGUGUCGAUUUGGUGCUGCAGAGCUUCAUGCUGUUGCUGCUUUGGUUGGAGGAAUUGCAUCACAAGAAGCGAUCAAGCUCAUAACAAGACAAUUUGUACCAAUAUCUGGGACCUACAUAUUUAACGGCAUUGAUCACAAGUCACAGCUAUUGUUAUUGUAACUGGUUUUAUGAUGGUAGUACUAUUAACUGACUUGUUUGGCAUCGUAGCUCUUUGGGAAAAUCAUGCUAUCAUGCAUAAUGAAGCACUAUAAUCUGGUUCAUUAAACAUCAAAGAAACUCUUGAUGACGGCAUCCUUUGAUGCAAAAGAGAACACUUGGAGAAGUUUAGAGAAGAAAAUGAACAACUCUUGUAUAUUGAUUGACUUGUAGCUCAAAUAGGCUUAGCUUUGCAUUAUAUUGAUUGAAGUGUAUUUCCUUGUUGAUCAUGUUGAAUGUCAUUUUAUAGCGCCCCCAAAAGCUAAAAUGAUAGUUGAGCAUGUUCAGCUUGGAUAUGAGUAGGGGUGUUCAUGCUACGGUUCGUGAGAAAAACUAAAUUGAACCAUAAUAAAAAUCCAUUCGAACUAAACCGAACCGAUUUAAUUUACCAAGAAUCAAAUUGAACCAAAACUAUCGGUUUGGUAUACUGUGAAAUUCCGAACCAUACUGAAUCGUUAGAAGGCAAUUUUUUUAAACCGAAUCGUUUAUCAAAGAACUGAAC